GUGCUCACUUGGGCAGCACAUAUACGAAAACUGGAACAAUACAGAGAAGAUCAUCAUGGUCCCUCUGCAAGGAUAACAGAAGCUUGAAGCAUUCCAUAGUUUU